rfam:Candidate division WWE3 bacterium GW2011_GWA2_44_16 TW36_C0002, whole genome shotgun sequence.
AUAGAAAGAACUUAAUGUACACGGAGGAUGCCUAGGGUUUUUGCGGCGAAGAAGGACGCGCCAGGCUGCGUUAAGCUUUGGGGAGCUGCCAAGAAGCGUUAUCACCCAGAGAUAUCCGAAUGGGGAAACCUUACCAAUAGAAAUAUUAGGUAACCUCUUGCUGAAAGAUUCACCGCAAGGUGAGUAUAUAGGCAUUAGGGAGCGUACCAGGUGAACUGAACCAACUUAGUAACCUGAGGAACAGAAACAAAUUAUGUAUUUCGUUAGUAGCGGCGAGCGAAAGCGAAGAAGCCCAAACUCAAGAACUAUAUCUGUCAUCGUCAUUCUGUGUUACAUGCUGGAGGGCGAGCGUCAUUCCUGGCGGAGCAAACUGCGUAAGCUUUGCGACGACGGAAUGAUGCGAGCAAGUCAGGCAUGUGCAUGGGAUGACGGUGAUAGACUUGGGGGUGCAGGCAACCCACAUCCGCCUCGGGCGGAAAGAAGUCAACAAGCAUUUUCAUAGGGGAACAUUUCUGGAAAGUUAGGCCAUAGAGAGUAAUAGCCUCGUACCCGAAAUGGGAAUGCCUUCUUGGGUUGUUCUAGAGUAGCAUGGGACACGUGAAAUCCUGUGUGAAGCAGGCUCGACCAUGAGCCAAGGCUAAAUACGCAAGAACACCGAUAGUGAACUAGUACCGUGAGGGAAAGGUGAAAAGAACCCCUGUUAGGGGAGUGAAAUAGAAACUGAAACCGUGUACAGACAAGCUGACAAAGGGGAGCCACCGCAAGGUGGGUACCCUAAUGUCGUGCCUAUUGAAGAAUGAGCCAACGAGUUAAUUUUGCGCGCAUGCUUUAGUCGCUUAUAAACGACGCAGGCAAAGGGAAACCGAGUCCUAAGUGGGCGUUGUUCCGCCAUUGGUGGGAUAAAAAGUGCGUUGAAUUAGACCCGAAGCCAGGUGAGCCAACCAUGGGCAGGGUGAGCUCCGUCGAAGGACGGAAGGAGGCCCGAACCGGUGUAUGUUGAAAAAUGCUCGGAUGACCUGUGGUUAGUGGUGAAACGUCAAACGAACCUGGUGAUAGCUGGCUCUCCCCGAAAUAUAUUUAGGUAUAGCCCUGCUGGUCCGCCUUAGGCGGAACGAUCCAACAAGAGGUAGAGAUACUGGAAAGAGUUGGGGCGCGCAAGCGUACCCAUUCUUAUCAAACUCCGAAUGCUUGUUGGUGGUGCAGGAGUCAGCAAUGGGGGGCAAUCUCCUGUUGCAAGAGGGAAACAGCCCAGACCAUCGAAUAAGGUCCCUAAUUUCUGCUAAGUGGGCAAGGUUGUGAAACUGUUAAAACAGCUAGGAGGUUGGCUCAGAAGCAGCCAUCCUUUAAAGAAAGCGUAACAGCUCACUAGUUUAACGGUUUUGCGCCGACAAUUUAACGGGGCUAAGCAGAAAACCGACUUCGUGGUUCCCGCCAAAGGCGGGAAGGUAGGGGAGCUUUGAUGUCUCCCGCAUUUUGCGGGACUAGGCUACGAAGGUGCGUUGUGAGACGUGCUGGAGCGGCAUCAAGUGAGUAUGUUGGCUUGAGUAACGAGACCAGCCUGAAAACGGCUGGCGCCGUAAGUCUAAGGUUUCCUCCGCUAUGUCAGUCAACGGAGGGUUAGCCGGUCCUAAGGUAAGGCCGAAAGGCGUAGUCGAUGGACAGCAGGUUAAUAUUCCUGCGCUAGCGUGGAACCGCUAUUACCAAUGGAGUAACGACGUGAGAUAACUUGAGCUGGUUAAAGAUUCCAGUCCAGAAAGCGAGCCAGUUCCCACAGGCAAAUCCGUGGGGAUGCUAUUACGCGAGCUGGUGGAGAAGCUCUUAACUGGGCUAAUUCAGGUGAGUCAUGCGUCCGAGAAAAACUUCUAGGGAGGUUUCAAGCUAUCCGUACCGCAAUCCGACACAGGUAGACGGGUUGAGUAUACCAAGGCGAUCGAGUGAACUGUGGUUGAGGAACUAGGCAAAUUACAUCCGUAACUUAGGGAAAAGGAUGUCCGCCGCAAGGCGGAGGCACAAAAAUGGUUCAAGCGGCUGUUUAACAAAAACACAGGUCUCUGCUUAACUCGUAAGAGGAGGUAUAGGGGCCGACGCGUGCCCAGUGCCCGUAAGUCAAAACCUAGGGUGAUUUCCUGCCGCAAGGCGGGGAUGAGCUUCGGGUCUAAGCUCGGGUGAACGGCGGUCUUAACUAUAAGGAUCCUAUGGUAAAGUAACGCGCUGCCAUAGUAAAAUUUGGCUAUAUGCUGGAAACUCCGUUCUCUAGAAAUACUAGAGAGAAGUAUCUUGUACUACUAAACAUAGUCAACUAUCGUUUGACUAUGCACAGUGAAAAAGUAUCAAGUGCGGACAAUCAGCAGGAAAGACUAAGGAUUGAGGGGUGGUUAGUCGGUUUUACUGACGGAGAAGGUGCUUUUACAGUAAGCAUUAUUAAGAACCACACAAGUAAAAUCGGUUGGCAAGUGUUUCCGGAAUUCAUAGUUACCCAAGGUGCAAAAAGCAAGGAUGUUUUGUUCCUAUUCCAAGAGUACUUCAAAUGCGGGCAUGUUUAUCUUAAUAGAAGGUUUGAUAAUCACAAUGAGAAUAUCUACAGGUAUUGUGUUAGAUCAUUAAAGGACUUAAGAUCAGCGAUUAUCCCUUUCUAUGCUAACAACCCGUUGAAAACCCACAAGGCAGAAGAUUUCAAACUCUUUUGUCUUAUCAUGGAUAUGAUUUCCGUGGGCGAUCACUUGAGUAUUCAAGGUAUAAGAGACAUUGCACACAUUGCGAUGGGUAUGAACCGGAAAGCUAAACCCAAAUUCUUAGAAUCCUCACAGACUAUACGCCAAACCCCGCCAACGGCGGGGAAGAUAUAGUCGCAUCUGCAUGGCGACAUGCAGGGGUUAGUUAAAUCUAACUCAUAGUCUGCUUAAGGCAGAUGAAGUAGAAACGAGCGUAAUCCCUUGUCGGGUAAGUUCCGACCCGCACGAAACGCGUAACGACUUGAACACUCUCUUAACCACAGGCUCGGUGAAAUAGAACUACCGGUGAAGAUGCCGGUUACUUGCUGUUGGACAAAAAGACCCCGUGGAGCUUUACUGCAACCUGACAUUGGUAAGUUGUUUUAAUUGUGUAGCGUAGGAGGGAGAUUUCCCCGCGAAAGUUGGGAGAUCAACGAUGAAACACCUCUCUGUUAAAGCGAUAAGCCUAACUAUUCCGCCUUACCGGCGGAGAGGACAAUGUUUGGCGGGCAGUUUAACUGGGGCGGUUUCCUGCUAAAAGGUAACGCAGGAGCACAAAGGUUCCCUUAGCGCCGAUGGAAAUGGCGCUCUAAGCGUAAAGGUAUAUGGGAGCUUUACUGCAAGACAUACAAGUCGCGCAGUUGCGAAAGCAGGUCUUAAUGAUCUUCCGAGAGCCUUAUGGUAGGCCCGGAACUUAUCGGAUAAAAGUUACCCCGGGGAUAACAGGCUGAUCCCACCCGAGCGUCCACAGCGGCGGUGGGGUUUGGCACCUUUAUUAUUGAUAUUGGGGUGCUUCCAAAGUAAUUUGGAACCAAAGAAAGUGGCUAAUAACGGUGAACUCCUAUUGAUACAAUUGUGGUUUGUACUUAUAAUGUUAUCAAUGGACAAUACCGUGGGAAGUCUAACGGAAAGGCAAGUAUCUAUACUGUCGGGAAAGUUGCUAGGUGACGGUACUUUACGAAGGAAAACUAACACUCUACUAGAAAUAAACCAUUCGUAUAAGCAAAAGGACUAUGUCUUUUGGCUAUAUAACGAGUUUCGAGAGUUUGUUAACACACCUCCUCAUUUACGAGUAUCUGGAGUCAAUCGACUUUCCUAUAGGUUUACUACUAUCAGCUUGUCUGAUCUGAACAGGUACUACGCUUUGUUUUACCAAAAUGGGUACAAAGUAGUACCGAAAUCUCUUAGAUUGGAUCCGCUUAUGCUAGCUGUUUGGUUUAUGGACGAUGGGUCUAGGUCAAGAUCCAGCGUUUAUUUUAAUACUCAACAGUUUUCUUUGGAGGAUCAAAUGUUUCAGAUAAAGCUAUUGAGCGAUUUGGAACUUAAGGCAUCGCUGAACAAAGACAAGUGUUAUUACAGAAUUAGACUUUCUAGCGAUAGCAUGUCUACGUUUGUAAGUCUAGUAGAGCCUUAUUUAUUACGCAGUAUGAGAUAUAAACUUCCGUUUUGACCCCGUAUCGACUCGAUCUUAUGAUCGGUUAGCAGUUAUUCAGAAGAUUCUGAAAAACAGUACUGCUAAAAAACGCCAACUCCUACUCUUCGUGUAGAGGAGAGGAAGAAGAUAUAGUCAGAACAACUAGAGAUAGUUGAUUAUUGCGAUGUCGUCUCGUCGUAUCCUGGGGCUGAAGUAGGUCCCAAGGGUUGGGCUGUUCGCCCAUUAAAACGGCGCGUUGAUGGGUUCAGAGCGUUGUAAGACAGCUCGGUCUCUUUCCACAGCAAGCGUAUGAGUUUUGAGGGGGGUUGUUCGUAGUACGAGAGGACCCGAAUGAACGAACCUAUGGUGUACCAGUUGUUCCACUAGGGGCAUCGCUGGGUAGCUACGUUCGGUUGAGAUAAGCGCUGAAAGCAUCUAAGCACGAAGCUCGCCCCAAGAUUAGAACUCUUCCCCGCCUCGGCGGGGACGCAAAUCGUAGGAGACUACUACGUUGAUAGGCCGCAAGUGUAAGUACAGUAAUGUAUUCAGCUAAGCGGUACUAAUUAUUGCGACUCUUUCUAUUA